GGACAAAUUAUUCUCGAUACUUUGAGCGGAACGCCAGCUUGCAAUAAAAUUCACAGAAGUUGUUGCCUCACAAAAUGAAAAAUAUAGUUUACAUCAGAUUAUAUUAAUUCUGCUUAGCCAACCUUGGAGAGAACAUCGUUCAGGGUAGAUACAGUCUCAGCAUAGUAUUUCUCUGCUUCAGGAGUGCUCUUAAUCUUUGCCGCAUGGUCAAGCUGGCAGACAAACAAAAAGAACAAAAAAAAAAUCCAAAAUAUUCACAUUAAGAUUACUAAUUAUAAAUUAACAAGCAAUCAACUUCAGAAGGAAAAAAAACUCACAUUGCCGAUGGUCUGGAAGAGCUUUCCAGUGAGGUUCUUGAGGGAUUGUUUCUCAUCUUUGGGCUUAGCAGAAAUGAUAGUGUUGAGGUCAUAGCGAAGGUAUGAGGCCCUGAGACGGAGAUCAUUCUGAACAUAGGGCCAGGCCUUCUUGUCUAUUAAUUCCUUGACAUUAAGAAUAUCCUUUGCUGACG
rnacentral:lncRNA from 1 species